GUCGAUCGUUCAAGCAGAGACAAGGGGUGAAACCCUAGUUUCACCAAAUCCAUCCAAUUGAGAAGGAAAUUCAAGGAAAAAUCGAAUGCAUGAAACCCUAUUUCGAACAUCAAACCUUGCUCAUUAAAAUGGCGUGAAAGAAGAAAGUUCAAGCACUAAGAAAACGGAAGACACGCAUGAUCGAGGUAAAUACUCAAUUUAGGCGACUUGGAGAAUUGGAGCGAGCACAUGUUCAUGAUAUGUCAUACCAAACGCUUCCGUUAGUUGCACUAAUGUUUUGGGUCAAAAUUUCUAUUUUGUACAACUUGUUAGUAGACAUAUAUUUUAACGCUUGAUGCCUAGGUUUUUAGUAGUGCCUUGUCGAACAAUUUGUAGAAUGGUAUUUGUCUUUUUUUUUAUGUUUAAAACAGGGGUAUAUCCAUUUUACAGA